rnacentral:rRNA from 1 species
AUCUGGGCGGCGGAAUUCAGGAUGACUGGCGCGUCUCCGCGCGGCGCGUCGGUCGUUUGAUAUUUCCGUCGCCGAUCACCCGCAGACGUCGCGACCUGUUCGCGGUCGGUCUAGGAGCCGCGUUCGAGUUCGUUGUGUGCGCGUUUCGGCGUGCCACGCGACGAAGACGCGGAUCUCUGGCUGGCCGUCGGACAGUACGCUCAACGGUGUCCGGUGUCGCCUCGCGCGUGCACCGGUACCGGUCAGCGACGAAUUCUUCGGGCCUCUUUCCGACCCGUCUUGAAACACGGACCAAGGAGUCUAACAUGCGCGCGAGUCGCGGGGUGUCGAGCGUACUUCGGUGCGUUCGUUACGUUGCGAAACCCGUACAUGUCGAAGGCGUAAUGAAAGUAAAUGGGGAAGAUGGUGUUCCGAGUACACGUUCCGCGAUCGUCGGUAUCGCGGCCGGACACCCGCAUUCCCGGGGCGUCUCAACGGCCCGUCGCUGACGCGGACAGUCGUCUUUCGGGGCGGCUGUCGGUCGGCGAUGAACCGA